rnacentral:sRNA from 1 species
UAGCGUUACAAUUCAAUAGCCUGCCAA